rnacentral:misc_RNA from 1 species
GGAAGGAUCAUUCACACUCUCGAUUUAUCGAAUGUUAUAGAUUCAACGAACUGAACCCGUUACUCGGCCUUUCGGCCAGGCUUUCUCACUCCAUUCGUGGUUUGGGUUUGUCGGGCUGAAGGGUUUCGGGGCCGCACUAUUGCGGGCUAUUUUUUGUAUCGGUUAAAAUGUUUAAAAUUGUACUUUCAGCAAUGGACGUCUUGGUUCCCAAUUCGAUGAAGGACGCAGCAAAUUGCGAUAAGCAGUGUGAAUUGCAGAAAUCUGUGAACCAUCAGACCUCUGAACGCAUACGGCACUAGUAGGGACUUGUUCUCGCAGUGUGGUUGGCUCAGUGUCUUUCUUUGAUCCCAGUAUAAGAGUGAACUGGCGUCGAGUGAUCCGCGAACAUUUAUUUGUUCAAGGGCUACUGUGUCGUCGUAUAAAAAGAAGGUACGCUGUCGCUGUUUUUCUCUUUAAUGGGGUAAAGUGCUUGCACUCUGGGGAAUUGUAGUCUGAAGAAGUGUCUCCAGUGGAAGUCGCAGAGCAAAAGUCUCUUGAAAGAGAACGCCAAAGAGGGUGAGAGUCCCGUAGCUGCUCUGCAGUACGUCCACAUACGGAACAUUUUCAUAGAGUCGUGUUUCUUGGGAGUGAAACGCUAAAUUGGUGGUAAACUUCAUCUAAGGCUAAAUAGUUUAUGGGAAACCGAUAGCAAAUAAGUACCUUGAGGGAAAGAUGAAAAGGACUUUGGAAAGAGAGUUAAAAUUCCCGGAAAUUGCUGAAAAGGAAGCGGUUGAAAUGCAUAUGCAAACCUGGGGUAUAUCUGUUUGAGCGGCUCAGGUCUGUUUGGUCAACUUUAUUGGGGCUUUAUAGAUUUGUGUCACUUGGCGGAGAAUCUUCUAGGAUGGAUCAGCUGCAGUUGGCGCUCUCGCGUGGAUGUUCAACACUCGGUCUCUCGAGACCGUAGCUGUUGCCCUUUCCCAACGGAUGGUGUCGACUGAGGUGAGCUCAUGCUGGUUUACUGGCAUGCUUGGUAGCUGAUUUAUGAGUUUUCACCGGCCCGUCUUGAAACACGGAUCAAGGAGUCCAACACAUGUGCGUGUCCGUGGGUACGCAAUCCUAUGGGCGAAAUUAAAGUGAGUGUUCCCGUUCUGGAACAACCGACCACAAUCGUCGAGCGAGGUUUGAGUAUGAGCAUAUAUGUUGGGACCCGAAAGAUGGUACCUGAAUAGGGUGAAGCCAGGGGAAACCCUGGUGGAGGCUCGUAGCGAUACUGACGUGCAAAUCGUUCGUCAAAUUUGGGUAUAGGGGCGAAAGACUAAUCUAGUAGCUGGUUCCCUC